CUAACACAUGCAAGUCGAGCGGUAGCACAGAGAGCUUGCUCUCGGGUGACGAGCGGCGGACGGGUGAGUAAUGUCUGGGAAACUGCCUGAUGGAGGGGGAUAACUACUGGAAACGGUAGCUAAUACCGCAUAACGUCGCAAGACCAAAGUGGGGGACCUUCGGGCCUCAUGCCAUCAGAUGUGCCCAGAUGGGAUUAGCUGGUAGGUGGGGUAACGGCUCACCUAGGCGACGAUCCCUAGCUGGUCUGAGAGGAUGACCAGCCACACUGGAACUGAGACACGGUCCAGACUCCUACGGGAGGCAGCAGUGGGGAAUAUUGCACAAUGGGCGCAAGCCUGAUGCAGCCAUGCCGCGUGUGUGAAGAAGGCCUUCGGGUUGUAAAGCACUUUCAGCGGGGAGGAAGGCGGUGAGGUUAAUAACCUCAUCGAUUGACGUUACCCGCAGAAGAAGCACCGGCUAACUCCGUGCCAGCAGCCGCGGUAAUACGGAGGGUGCAAGCGUUAAUCGGAAUUACUGGGCGUAAAGCGCACGCAGGCGGUCUGUCAAGUCGGAUGUGAAAUCCCCGGGCUCAACCUGGGAACUGCAUUCGAAACUGGCAGGCUAGAGUCUUGUAGAGGGGGGUAGAAUUCCAGGUGUAGCGGUGAAAUGCGUAGAGAUCUGGAGGAAUACCGGUGGCGAAGGCGGCCCCCUGGACAAAGACUGACGCUCAGGUGCGAAAGCGUGGGGAGCAAACAGGAUUAGAUACCCUGGUAGUCCACGCUGUAAACGAUGUCGAUUUGGAGGUUGUGCCCUUGAGGCGUGGCUUCCGGAGCUAACGCGUUAAAUCGACCGCCUGGGGAGUACGGCCGCAAGGUUAAAACUCAAAUGAAUUGACGGGGGCCCGCACAAGCGGUGGAGCAUGUGGUUUAAUUCGAUGCAACGCGAAGAACCUUACCUGGUCUUGACAUCCACAGAACUUUCCAGAGAUGGAUUGGUGCCUUCGGGAACUGUGAGACAGGUGCUGCAUGGCUGUCGUCAGCUCGUGUUGUGAAAUGUUGGGUUAAGUCCCGCAACGAGCGCAACCCUUAUCCUUUGUUGCCAGCGGUUAGGCCGGGAACUCAAAGGAGACUGCCAGUGAUAAACUGGAGGAAGGUGGGGAUGACGUCAAGUCAUCAUGGCCCUUACGACCAGGGCUACACACGUGCUACAAUGGCAUAUACAAAGAGAAGCGACCUCGCGAGAGCAAGCGGACCUCAUAAAGUAUGUCGUAGUCCGGAUUGGAGUCUGCAACUCGACUCCAUGAAGUCGGAAUCGCUAGUAAUCGUAGAUCAGAAUGCUACGGUGAAUACGUUCCCGGGCCUUGUACACACCGCCCGUCACACCAUGGGAGUGGGUUGCAAAAGAAGUAGGUAGCUUAACCUUCGGGAGGGCGCU
rnacentral:rRNA from 1 species